AUUGAACGCUGGCGGAAUGCUUUACACAUGCAAGUCGAACGGCAGCACGGACUUCGGUCUGGUGGCGAGUGGCGCACGGGUGAGUAAUGUAUCGGAACGUGCCCAGUCGCGGGGGAUAACGUAGUGAAAAUUACGCUAAUACCGCAUACGAUCUAUGGACGAAAGCGGGGGAUCGCAAGACCUCGCGCGAUUGGAGCCGCCGAUAUCAGAUUAGGUAGCUGGUGGGGUAAAGGCCCACCAAGCCAACGAUCUGUAGCUGGUCUGAGAGGACGACCAGCCACACUGGAACUGAGACACGGUCCAGACUCCUACGGGAGGCAGCAGUGGGGAAUUUUGGACAAUGGGCGAAAGCCUGAUCCAGCCAUGCCGCGUGCAGGAUGAAGGCCCUCGGGUUGUAAACUGCUUUUGUACAGAACGAAAAGGUUUCUACUAAUACUAGGAGCUCAUGACGGUACUGUAAGAAUAAGCACCGGCUAACUACGUGCCAGCCGCCGCGGUAA
rnacentral:rRNA from 1 species